rnacentral:tRNA from 1 species
UCCUUCUUAGCUCAGUUGGUAGAGCGCGUCACUAGUAUGCUAUGACGAGGUCAGUCGUUCAAGUCGGCUAGAAGGAA